rnacentral:tRNA from 1 species
UCUGCGAUAGCUCAAUGGUAGAGCAACCGGCUGUUAACCGGUAGGUUGCUGGUUCGAAUCCAGCUCGCAGAG